GAUCCUGGCUCAGAUUGAACGCUGGCGGCAGGCCUAACACAUGCAAGUCGAACGGUAGCACAGAGGAGCUUGCUCCUUGGGUGACGAGUGGCGGACGGGUGAGUAAUGUCUGGGAAACUGCCCGAUGGAGGGGGAUAACUACUGGAAACGGUAGCUAAUACCGCAUAACGUCGCAAGACCAAAGAGGGGGGACCUUCGGGCCGUCUUGCCAUCGGAUGUGCCCAGAUGGGAUUAGCUAGUAGGUGGGG
rnacentral:rRNA from 1 species